rnacentral:rRNA from 1 species
GACUCCUACGGGAGGCAGCAGUGAGGAAUAUUGGACAAUGGGCGCAAGCCUGAUCCAGCCAUGCCGCGUGCAGGAUGACGGUCCUAUGGAUUGUAAACUGCUUUUGUACAGGAAGAAACACUGGUUCGUGAACCAGCUUGACGGUACUGUAAGAAUAAGGAUCGGCUAACUCCGUG